AUCUUAGCGGCGGACGGGUGAGUAAUGCUUAGGAAUCUGCCUAUUAUUGGGGGACAACAUUUCGAAAGGAAUGCUAAUACCGCAUACGUCCUACGGGAGAAAGCAGGGGAUCUUCGGACCUUGCGCUAAUAGAUGAGCCUAAGUCGGAUUAGCUAGUUGGUGGGGUAAAGGCCUACCAAGGCGACGAUCUGUAGCGGGUCUGAGAGGAUGAUCCGCCACACUGGGACUGAGACACGGCCCAGACUCCUACGGGAGGCAGCAGUGGGGAAUAUUGGACAAUGGGCGCAAGCCUGAUCCAGCCAUGCCGCGUGUGUGAAGAAGGCCUUAUGGUUGUAAAGCACUUUAAGCGAGGAGGAGGCUACUUUAGUUAAUACCUAGAGAUAGUGGACGUUACUCGCAGAAUAAGCACCGGCUAACUCUGUGCCAGCAGCCGCGGUAAUACAGAGGGUGCAAGCGUUAAUCGGAUUUACUGGGCGUAAAGCGCGCGUAGGCGGCUAAUUAAGUCAAAUGUGAAAUCCCCGAGCUUAACUUGGGAAUUGCAUUCGAUACUGGUUAGCUAGAGUGUGGGAGAGGAUGGUAGAAUUCCAGGUGUAGCGGUGAAAUGCGUAGAGAUCUGGAGGAAUACCGAUGGCGAAGGCAGCCAUCUGGCCUAACACUGACGCUGAGGUGCGAAAGCAUGGGGAGCA
rnacentral:rRNA from 1 species